UGGCAGACGGGUGAGUAACGCGUGGGGAACCUACCUCUUUGUGGGGAAUAACGUUCCGAAAGGAAUGGUAAUACCGCAUGAGACCUUUGGCUGGGAUGCCGGAGGUGAAACCCGGGGACCGUAAGGCCUGGGGCAAGGAGAGGGUCCUGCGUCUGAUUAGCUAGUUGGCGGGGUAACGGCCCACCAAGGCGACGAUCAGUAGCCGGCCUGAGAGGGUGAUCGGCCACACUGGAACUGAGACACGGUCCAG
rnacentral:rRNA from 1 species